UCCACACUUCCUUUCCUUGCUUCCCCGUCUUUCCUUCUCCCAAAGGCACCAGCUGCUUCCAACUCCCAGUCCAGUAGCCUUUGGUGCAGGGGAGGUUGCCCUCUGCUCACACGGAGGCCAGCUAACGCUCCUGUCCACCCCAGGAGUGUUUAUCCCACCCCAACUAGACUUAAAAGAAAAGGCACACACACGUGUUAUUAAAAUGAACUGUUUAUAUUAUCUCAGUUGAGUCAAUACAUUAUAAUGUAUUAAAAUGGAAAGGUACAAAAUUGAAAUAAAUACUUUCUGAUUCAUGUAUAAAUCUUUUUUUUUUGUCAAGAUGACUUUUAUCAUCAGUACAUGUCACAAGAAAACAUUUAAAAUGACACCAAAACAAUCUCUGAAAUCAUGGUGCAUGGAGGAAAUAAGCCACUUCUCUACACGGUCUGCACUUACAGUAGAUACAUUCAUUAUUGUCCAAGGGAAGACAGCCGCUGCCUUUCACUUAAAGAGCUUGGUGGAGAGGCUGAAGGGGUAUGCUACAGCUGAAGGUGAGUAGAAUGUUCCAGAGAACAGAAAAGUCUAGAUGGUCUUCAGGAACAGCACUGAGCAGGAUGGGGUGAAGGGUCUCUGGGCGAGAGGUGGAGGGCAGGGAGGAGUCCAGUUCUCAAGCAGCAGAGACCAGAGGAUGGCGUGGGGUUGGUGGUAGCCACCAUGGGCACUGGGAAUCUCUCGGCCUGAGCAGUCCUGGGUUUGUCCUCAGCCUGGGAACACUGCUCUGUCAGUGAGAGGUGGGCCCUGGGCUUUGGAGAGGGAGUGUGGUCGCCUUUCAGGCACAGCAGCGUCGGGGAGACAGGCAGGCUUCCAAGGUCUACCACGGGAGGGACUUCUCGCCUGGUUCUGACUGUUUGGUAGGUGGUCAUUAAGGCAAUAAGGACUUUAGCAAACUAGAAGUUAAGGACAGCUAAAUUCAGCCAGAUCAAAGGUAAACAAAAGGUGAGAAGGGGACCCUUUCUCUUCGGCUACUUUCCCCAAGCCAGCAAGCCUCAGCUCCUGGAGCACAGGUUUACAGUACGCAAUAGCAGAGGGCUUGCCCUUUGAGAGGCUCCAUGGAAAAAAGGCUCAUCCAAGACUUGGGCAACGUAAGCAGUUUCUACUCUCCAAACUCUUUCCUGCGGUCAUGUUCUGGGGAGUGGCAGGUGGAAGCACCAAGAUUCAUGCAGAAGUUAGGUCAAGACCCUGGCUCUCAUCUUGCUGGUUCAUCUCAUUGGCCUUGAACACCAUGCAACCCGGAAAACCAAGCCAGAUGCUUGCAUGCACCAUAAGACUGACACUCAGCUGGAGAGAAGGCAAGAAUUUCAGGGGUCCAGAGAGGGCACCCUCCCCUGAGCAGAUGGAAGGAGAGCUGCAAGGGCUAUGGAACUAUGAAGUCCCACUUGGCCUCUGGGGAGAAGAAAAAAGCUCGUGUGACUUGAAUCUGUCCAGAAGGAGACAUGCAAAAGGUAAAGGAGAGCAGGACUAUUCUCUUCCUCCAUGCUCUGGACAAAGGAGAUGAGCCUUACAAUGCUAUGGGAAACGUAACCUCCGACAGCUACCUGUUCUGGGCUAACUUCUGGCAAGAGGCUGGGUAGUCUGACUGCCAAGGCUCUGGACCGGGGAAGAAGAGGAUCUGGAACAGUUUCUGCCAAGGGUACAACUACCUAUCCCUGCAUAGGAACCAAGUAUGACCUAGGUAAAGCAGAUAGAAUCACUCCCCUCCAUCCUCCAGCAUGAGACAGCAGGACAGAAAAGGCUCCUCAUGAGAUGCCUGGGGCCUGCAGGUAUAGCAGCUUGGACAUGCUAGACUCAAAUUAUUCAGGAGCCCUCUAAGGGACCUUGGUGGGAAGGAGACAUUUGCAAGAGGACACACUAAUGGCCAGCUGUCUGGGGCUCGAUCCCUGUCUAGUCCCUCUGGUGGGACGCUAAGAAAAGUAGGUAACAGGACUGCAAGAAUUACAACAAUAAACCAAUGACAAAAGCGUGACAAGCAUGAUCUGGGGAUAUGGACAAAACAAGAUUGAUGGCAAGUUAAGUGAUCAUUGCUAAAGAGGACUGGUGGAUGACUUCCUCGUCUAAUCCUGCAUGAGUGCAUGAUUAAACCUAUCCUCUAAGUGACACACAGUACAAAACAAAUCCUCUAAGAAAUCAUCUAGCUUACCCCUUCCUUUCCCUGACAGAAUACCCAAAGCCACUGGGAAUGGGCUCUGUAGAACUAGAGCCCAGCCAUCUUCCUACAGCCACUGGGACAUUGCAGUCACCUUUAUAGUCUUGCAUCCAUGUCUGUUCUCUGGCUUUGCUCUUACCAUGUUGAGAAGCAGGCAACACUCCUGAGAACGCCCGCCAGUGAGCCUCAGGAACCUAGUAUUCAUGGCAAACACCUUGUUGCUUCACUAGGCUAGCCUUCUGAGGAGCCCACAGAACUUAGGGGAGCAGCAGCCUGGGCUGGAGUUCUGCUGUGAGCAGUGUGUGGCUGGUGUGUGGCCUCAGCUACUGGCUAAGUAGUGUGGUCACCAGCCCUGCCUGUUCUUGGAAGAGUUUAAGAAUACGGGGAACAAAGGAGCUGUUCUAACAGUUCAGAAAACAAAUUGUAACAGAUGAAACAGAAGUUGUUGUUGUUGUUUUUUAAUGAAUGCAAAGAGUGCACAUGAACAAGGAUGACAAAAGCUUACAAGUCAGAAGAUGCGUGGGAAAGAGUCAUCUUUAGGAUCGUGAGAGUGUGAAAGAAUGUUUGCAAAGUCUAUUGUGUUACCUAGUUUUUU